AACGAACGCUGGCGGCGUGCCUAACACAUGCAAGUCGAACGAGAAGUACGUAGCAAUACGUAUUGUAAAGUGGCGCACGGGUGAGUAACACGUGGGUAAUCUGCCCUCGAGUUUGGGAUAACCCCGCGAAAGCGGGGCUAAUACCGAAUAAGACCACGGGGACCAAAGUCUCCGGGGUAAAAGGUGGCCUCUAUUUAUAAGCUACCACUUGAGGAUGAGCCCGCGGCCCAUUAGCUAGUUGGCAGGGUAACGGCCUACCAAGGCGAUGAUGGGUAGCUGGUCUGAGAGGACGAUCAGCCACACUGGAACUGAGACACGGUCCAGACUCCUACGGGAGGCAGCAGUGGGGAAUAUUGCGCAAUGGGCGAAAGCCUGACGCAGCAACGCCGCGUGGGGGAUGAAGGUUUUCGGAUUGUAAACCCCUUUCGACCGGAACGAAUCUCCUCCUGGUAAAUAAUCAGGAGGAUCGACGGUACCGGGAGAAGAAGCCACGGCUAACUCUGUGCCAGCCGCCGCCGUAAUAC
rnacentral:rRNA from 1 species